UACAACUUUAAAAAGAGAUUAAGAAAGAUGAAGAUCAAUGUUGUGCAGAACCGACAUACCCUGAUAAACCAAAUUCCUCCACCCCUCUGCUCUGUGUUUGAUUGUAUCUAAGGUCACAUUGAUUGGACGGGUCUGACUGGGAGAAGAACAGAAGGGUCAGAAUAAGCCUGCAGGCCUUUUAAAGCAUGACUGGGAUGGCCUCUACAACCAGGGGAUGACCAGGCCAAGUCUUCAUCACCAGGGGUAAAUGGGAGUCUGUCAACCACUGUGAUUUUCGGCACAACAAACAAAGAUAAAUUACCAAUCCUGAUGCCAAACAGUGUGAACGGCUGAUUGACAUGGGUCAGGGCCAUGACCGCAGGGUUAUGGAGAUGGAGAAACGUCUAUAACCAAUACAAUAGCUGCAGUAGUUAGUGUGGCCUACCUUACCCAAAAAUAUAGUUUCAGAGGAUGAAAUCCCGCCCAGCUAGUAUACAGUACCCAUUCAGGAGGCAUGUACAGUACCCACCGUAGAUUUCAGCAUAUGCUGCUGUCAUCACCACCGCCGCAAUGGAACCAGAGGGAUUCCCUUAUCAGCAUCUUCCAGAACACAGCUCAAGCAAACAUCUGCAAACAAAGGCAUGUGACUAAAGCCCCAUACAGUGCAACGCACAGCAUAAAUCACUGUUCACUCCAUCCUUCUUUCUCUCUCUCCAUUUCUCCUUUCAUCCCUCCAUCCCUGUCCCAGAAAAUCACCUUGAGGCUGAUCCCUAGUCGUUUCAACACGGUCUUCACCACACAUCACCUGUGGGAUUUUGCAAUCCCCAGAGUUGCAAACCGCGCCCCAGCCCCAGGCCCAGGCUCCGUGUGGUUCUGUCCAGUUGAUUUAUAACUCUGCUCCUUGUGCAGAUGAGGUUUUUUGUGUUAGUUGGGAAAUGGAUUUGGAAUGAAUCGUUGUGGUGAAGUGGGCACUGAUUGAGCGGAUCCUGUAGGACCUGCAUGCUGCUCCAUAGACAGUUCUCAGACUAGGAACCAAUAAUGAAAUCACAUGACAACAGGUGAGAACCCUGCCUAUCCAGAACGGAGCUUCUAUGAGUGGAUUUCUAGAGCUGGAGUGUGGUGGUGGGAUGUGAUGAUCAUCAUCAGAGGAUUGGAGGGCAUGUGGUUCUGGGUCAGGCUGAAGCUGCUUUGGUAAUUGUCACUUCCUGGUACACCAUCUGUCUAUCCUCGCAGCAAGGACGGUCUUCCAAGGACACAUGCGCGCAAACACACACACGCCCUUCAAAAACACUGACCAAUCUAAUAAUGCCAUGUUAUCUGGGCUCAUCCUGCCCGCUAAACCUGAUGUAAACAUAAGGUCCUUGUGUCGGACAAGAUAUACACAAUGUGUUGUGUGUGGCUGUUUAUGUUUGCAAUCUUGAGUCAGGCGUCGGACGUUUGGAACAGGAUUGACAUGGCUUGGUUCCCCUUGAUGUUUCAACCUGGCCAACUCAAUGGAAAAGUACUAUGUCAUAUUUGAGUGUGGUUCAAUUGGAGGACCAUUCUAUGUCUCUGCUGGACAGAGGCCUGUGCUAUGACAUAAGUGAGAACAGAGUGUAAUAGUGAGUUGAUGGGGCAGGGGGCUGGGUGCAGGCAGAGGGGGCGUGUCUUUGCUGGAAAGGUCAGGAGGGCUUGCAGCUAGCAAAGCAGGCUGUGCACACAGUGGGAACACCACCCAGUGACAUUUACACAAACACACACACACACAGCAUUAUGAGUCAGCAGACCAUGUCACCUCUGCACACUGACUGGACGUAAAGGCAGCAGUUUGGGUAUGUUAGAACUGUGCGUCAUCGAGAAGUCAUCUUACUUUCAAAGUCGUGGUGCCUGACCAUAACAAUGUAAAGGCCCCUUAAUGGGCCAACAUGAACUGAGUGCUUGUCUGCAUUUCACAUAUCAUCAUCAUCACCCUCAUCAUCAUCACCAUCCUCCUCACCUCGUCAGUCCCUCUGUGGAUGUUGAACAUGUCAGCUCUUCAUCCAGGCAAAGCCUGGCACCCCCUCCAUGCUUGGGCCCCGCCUGCCGGAUUUCUGACGGUCCUCGGAGUGGAAAUGGUGUGAAGACUUUUGUUCAGACUUGAAAGAGAGAUGGAGAAUUCACACCAGAACAACUCUCAACCAACUGGAGGGAUUCACAGAUCCCUGCUUAGAAUGUGACAAUUCCUGCCAACUGGUUCUAUAUUUACCUUUUAACAAACUUUAAUAAACUGUUAAUAAACAAAUUAAUGAGAGACAGGGACAGAUUUGAGGUGGAGGUCAGAGGUCAGAUUUCUGCCAGGGGUCCAGUGCUUGUGUGUUUUGUAUUGGGGUAUUUCUUAAAUCCAGAGUUACUAACCUGAGACAAUCUUCAAGCUUCACCUCGACUAACUUCUCUUUUGCUUGACACCAAAAGCAACACUUAGCAGUUCAUUACUUCUUGUGAUACCUGCAAAUUUGUAUUUGAUAUCCUGUUGUUCCAAUGUCUGGCAAGAUUGCACCUGCAAAAAAGAUUGAUGUUGUACUCAUGACAUGUCGAUGUAUUAUACACUACGGUAUUCCGCAGCUAUACAGCCAGUGACUGUGGUCAGCUCUCGGUUGAUCCCCAGGCUCCAUCUACAUCUCUGAAGGCCUCUGCCCUGGUCCUGAUAACUUGGCUGACAGGCAGAUAAAUCUAUCUAUUUUCCAGAAAUACAAAUUUGAGGUCAGCUCCCUCUUACCACAGAAAUAUAAUCUUUUUUAAUUGGUGACAGCAACAGCAACACAGGGUAAUUAACUUUGGUGGUGUUCAAUUUUGACAUACUGUGUGUACAUAAUCAGAUGCAAUUCAGUGGAUGGUGGUGGGAUUUUAUCAAAUAACCCCAUAUUUCUGUCUCUAUAUUGUCAAUCAUUGGUCCAUUUUCCAGCUUCCUUUCCCAAAUUCACAAUAUUGAAGGCCAUCUAUCACAGGGGGUUCCACCAGCAGUUAUGGCCCUCCAGGGUUCAAAGGUCAUGUUCACCGUGCCAAAUUAAAAAUAGAAUUCUGACUUAUUUUAGUUCAGAUAGAUUUAGAAGUGAAAUGUGUCUUUUUGUCUACUGUAAGUUUCAUUUAACACAUGUAGCCUAUCUGAUUUGGUGGUUUGCCUUUUGAUGGAUUUAUAUUUAAAUGUAUUUUGUCUUCACCCGAUUGUCAUUCAUCCCUUUAGUCAUUUCACAGAUUAUGGAGAACUGAACGAAUCUGUUUAUGUCAAUUAAGGAUGUCUCCUAAAGGGGAUGGCUGACGACAUU